AUUGAACGCUGGCGGAAUGCUUUACACAUGCAAGUCGAACGGCAGCACGGGGGCAACCCUGGUGGCGAGUGGCGAACGGGUGAGUAAUACAUCGGAACGUGCCCAUGUCGUGGGGGAUAACGUAGCGAAAGCUACGCUAAUACCGCAUACGAUCUACGGAUGAAAGCGGGGGAUCGCAAGACCUCGCGCGAUUGGAGCGGCCGAUGGCAGAUUAGGUAGUUGGUGGGGUAAAGGCCCACCAAGGCGACGAUCCGUAGCUGGUCUGAGAGGACGACCAGCCACACUGGGACUGAGACACGGCCCAGACUCCUACGGGAGGCAGCAGUGGGGAAUUUUGGACAAUGGACGCAAGUCUGAUCCAGCCAUGCCGCGUGCGGGAAGAAGGCCUCCGGGUUGUAAACCGCUUUUGUCAGGGAAGAAAUCUUCUGGGUUAAUACCUCGGGAGGAUGACGGUACCUGAAGAAUAAGCACCGGCUAACUACGUGCCAGCAGCCGCCGUAAAAC
rnacentral:rRNA from 1 species